rnacentral:rRNA from 1 species
CGACAAUUACUCCCGCAGGGUUUAGACCCUUGUACACCCCGAGAAGCUACUGGUCGUCGAGAAGUCCGAGCCGAGCGUGAUCCAUGCUACCCCAACAACAACGCCUCCAACGCCGCCAAGACCGACGAGGCACGACGGCAAGGGCGAGCGUGGCCACCGCAAAGGCUACGCUACACGCGGCGCGUGUACCGACGAGGACACGGGCUCUGCCGCCGCCCACACACACACAUCACCAUCAUCAUGCAUGGAGAACGCGAAGCGAAGACGACGAAGACGACCACACAGCUCAAUCGGAGGUAUCCCGCGGAGCAACCCG